rnacentral:rRNA from 1 species
UCGGGAAUAUUGGGCAAUGGAGGCAACUCUGACCCAGCAACGCCGCGUGAAGGAUGAAGGCCCUCGGGUCGUAAACUUCUGUCGAGAGGGAAGAAACGCGUAAGGUUAAUACCCUUGCGUCUGACGGUACCUCCAAAGGAAGGUCCGGCUAACUCCGUGCCAGCAGCCGCGGUAAUACGGAGGGACCAAGCGUUGUUCGGAUUUAUUGGGCGUAAAGCGAGUGUAGGCGGUUUGACAAGUCGGGUGUGAAAUCCCAGGGCCCAACCCUGGAACUGCAUCCGAUACUGUCAGGCUAGAAUUCCGGAGAGGGUGGCGGAAUUCCCGGUGUAGGGGUGAAAUCCGUAGAUAUCGGGAGGAACACCAGUGGCGAAGGCGGCCACCUGGACGGUGAUUGACGCUGAGACUCGAAAGCGUGGGUAGCAAACAGGAUUAGAUACCCCCGUAGUCC